UACUUUUUACACAGACAAUAAAAGGCAGUGUAAUAAAUUUUGUUGCGGGUUGUUGAAUUAUUCUUUCAGCUUUUUCUAAAGACAAGUUUCUCGUGUAAAUGUCGUUUACAUAUUGUUAAGUUUGAAUUUCGCGCGUCAAAUCUCUGAAAGUUUUGGGGCAUAAGUAUUAUAGCAGUAGAAAUUGAGUUUCUCGCCUAAUAACAUGGUGGCUCUAUCUGUUGUUAGAACUUGAAAGUAUCCUCUGAGAACCAAGAAUGUUACCUGUUAAAGAUGAUUCAGGAGGGAACUGCACAGUGAAUUACGGUGAAAGUGAAGGUAUAUACGAUAUAUUACCGGCAAGCUUGGCAGCACAUGCAAAUACACGAACUUACUAAACGAGAGUAUAUUAUAUGUUCGUUUAUAUGUAUUGGUUAUAAUAAACUCACUUCUCCGGUAAGUUACGGAAGGAAA
rnacentral:misc_RNA from 1 species